CAUACUAUGCUGAAAAAACCUGUUCUCGUCCGAUCGCCGAAAGUUAAGCAUCAUUGGGCGCGGUCAGUACUUGGGAGGGUGACCACAUG